rnacentral:rRNA from 1 species
UACGUAGGGGGCAAGCGUUGUCCGGAUUUAUUGGGCGUAAAGAGCGCGCAGGCGGUCUGCCAAGUCAGAUGUGAAAGAGGCCGGCUUAACCGGCAAGGGUCAUUUGAAACUGACAGACUAGAGUGCAGCAGAGGAUAGCGGAAUUCCCGGUGUAGUGGUGAAAUGCGUAGAUAUCGGGAGGAACACCAGUGGCGAAGGCGGCUAUCUGGGCUGCAACUGACGCUGAGGCGCGAAGGCUAGGGUAGCAAACAGG